AUGGCUUUUAAAUUAUCAUAUUCUUUAUGGUUUCUGCUUGUCCUUCUACACCUUCAUUUUUUCACCAUUGUUCAAAGUUACAACAACAUAUCCUUUGGCUCAUCCCUGACUGCACAGGUGGACAAUAACCACUGGGGCUCGCCAUCUGGGGACUUCGCGUUUGGCUUCAGAAAAGUUGGCAAUGCUGGCUUCUUACUAGCCAUCUGGUUCAACAAGGUACAGGAAAAGACUAUAGUCUGGUCUGCCAAUCGCAAUAAUCCAGUGCAACAAGGAUCGAAAGUUAAAUUCUCUGCAGAAGGCAAGCUUACUCUCACUGAUAUUCAAACAAACAUUGCUGAUGAUCAGUCUAAGGAUACUGGAGUUGCCUAUGCUGCAGCCUUGCUGGACACAGGAAAUUUUGUUCUGGCGACUCGAAAUUCAACCUAUUUGUGGCAGAGUUUUGAUCAUCCAGCCGAUACCAUCCUUCCCACACAGACCCUGAACAUAAACAGCAGUCUCUUUGCCAAACUUACAGCAACAAAUUACUCAGAAGGAAGAUUCAAGUUUACACUAGGUUCUUGUGGAAACCUUAUGCUUUUUACAAUCAACUAUCCAUUCAAGAGUAUUAUUUCUGCGUACUGGUCACUUCAAACCGGUAAUGGCUUUCAGGUCAUUUUCAACCAAUCUGGUUCUAUUUACCUCGCAGCAAAAAAUGGAAGCAUGCCUUCGUUCAGUCUUACCAGAAACAGUUCAGACACAAGACGUCUACCAGAGAGCAACUCUUGACUAUGAUGGAGUUUUGAGGCACUAUACCCACCAGAAAGAAACCGACUCUUCAAGUGCUUGGUACACUUUUAGCUUCAUGCCUCCAAAUAUCUGCACAGCAAUUAAGGAAUCAAUAGGUGGUGGUGCAUGUGGGUUUAACCGCUUGUGUAAACAUGAAGAUGCAGCUCAUACUAAUUGCUCAUGCCCCCCGAGUUACAUCCCUGUUGACCAUGAUGAUGAGAGGAAAGGGUGUAAGCAAAACUUUGUUCCCCACAGUUGUGAUAAAGCUUCAUCAGAAGCAGACCUCUUUGAGUUUCAAGAGCUUCCAGACCUCUUUGAGUUUCAAGAGCUUCCAAACACCGAUUGGCCUGGUGGAAAUUAUGAGCGUUUGCGACCAGUAAAUAAGGAGCAGUGCAAGCAAAGUUGAAAGUUGCUUAGUCGAUUGUUUCUGUGCGGCUGCCCUUUUCCAUAAAGGUAGCAGUGAUUGUUGGAAGAAGGCAAUCCCUCUUACAAAUGGGAAGAUCAGCAAUGAUGUUAGAGGGUUAGCUCUGGUGAAGGUAAGGAAAGCCAGUUCUACUUCGAAACCAGUGAAAGUAAGAGAUAUUCUGCUCCUCAUAGGAGCAGCGAUCGUCCUAGUAUUAACCAACUUGGUUAUUUUUAUGAUAACCUAUCUGGUUAGUUCUCAUGCAAAGGUCAGUCCAAAUCGUCAUGUGGUUCAAGCCAUAAAUCUCAAAUGUUUUACUUUCAUGGAGCUAAAAGAAGCCACCAACGGAUUCAAGGAAGAGCUAGGUCGCGGUGCUUUUGCAACAGUUUUCAAAGGAAUUUUAGCAUCUGAUGGUGGGAAGUUCAUUGCUGUAAAAAGAUUGAAUGCUGUGGUUAAAGAAAAUGAUUUGGAAUUCAAAGCUGAAGUGAGCGCAAUCGCCGGAACAAAUCACAGAAAUUUAGUCCAACUACUUGGAUUUUGUAACUAGGGGAAACACCAGCUUCUUGUCUACGAGUACAUGAGCAAUGGCUCUCUAGCAAGCUUCCUGUUCGGCAAGACAAGGCCCGACUGGUAUCAAAGAAAGCAAAUUGCCUUGGGAACUGCAAGAGGGCUCUUAUACUUGCAUGAGGAGUGCACCAGCCAAAUCAUACAUUGUGACAUUAAGCCUCAAAACAUUCUCCUCGAUGAUUCUUUCACAGCAAGAAUAGCCGAUUUUGGAGUGGCCAAGCUCUUGAAAUGUGAACAAUCUCGAACAACUACUAGAAUCAGAGGCACAAAAGGUUAUGUUGCCCCAGAAUGGUUCAAAAGCUUUCCUGUCACAGUGAAGGUGGAUGUCUAUAGCUACGGCAUUGUGUUGUUAGAGAUUGUUUGCUGCAGGAAAAACUACGAAGCAGAAGCACAAGCUGAAGAUCAGAUAAUACUAGUUGAUUGGGCAUGUGAAUGCUAUAAGCAAAAGAAACUGCAUCUGUUAUUGCAAAAUGUUGACAAUGAUCAGGCAAUGGAUGGCAUUGAGAAGUUGGAGAAGUACUUGAUGUUCGCAUUUUGGUGCAUUCAAGAGGAUCCAUCAGUAAGACCUACCAUGAAGACUGUCACACAGAUGCUUGAAGGCACUGUCUAAGUCUCAGAGCCUCCAAAUCCGUCCUCACUAUAUGUCAAAUUUAACUAUUUAAGUGAUUGCAUUUACUCAUUGAUUUCUGAAUACCUGAACUUUCUGUGUGUUCGCUGCCCUUCACCAUUGCUUUAA